rnacentral:rRNA from 1 species
UGGCAGUCAGAGGCGAUGAAGGGCGUGCUAAUCUGCGAUAAGCGCCGGUAAGGUGAUAUGAACCGUUAUAACCGGCGAUACCCGAAUGGGGAAACCCAGUGUGACUCGUCACACUAUCAUUAACUGAAUCCAUAGGUUAAUGAGGCGAACCGGGGGAACUGAAACAUCUAAGUACCCCGAGGAAAAGAAAUCAACCGAGAUUCCCCCAGUAGCGGCGAGCGAACGGGGAGGAGCCCAGAGCCUGAAUCAGCAUGUGUGUUAGUGGAAGCGUCUGGAAAGGCGCGCGAUACAGGGUGACAGCCCCGUACACAAAAGCGCAUGUGCUGUGAGCUCGAUGAGUAGGGCGGGACACGUGGUAUCCUGUCUGAAUAUGGGGGGACCAUCCUCCAAGGCUAAAUACUCCUGACUGACCGAUAGUGAACCAGUACCGUGAGGGAAAGGCGAAAAGAACCCCGGCGAGGGGAGUGAAAAAGAACCUGAAACCGUGUACGUACAAGCAGUGGGAGCACCCUUUGGGUGUGACUGCGUACCUUUUGUAUAAUGGGUCAGCGACUUAUAUUCUGUAGCAAGGUUAACCGAAUAGGGGAGC